UACGGAGGGGGUUAGCGUUGUUCGGAAUUACUGGGCGUAAAGCGCGCGUAGGCGGAUUGGAAAGUUAGAGGUGAAAUCCCGGGGCUCAACCCCGGAACGGCCUUUAAAACUCCCAGUCUAGAGUUCGAGAGAGGUGAGUGGAAUUCCAAGUGUAGAGGUGAAAUUCGUAGAUAUCAGAAGGAACAUCAAUGGCGAAGGCGGCUCACUGGCUCGAUACUGACGCUGAGGUGCGAAAGUGUGGGGAGCAAACAGG
rnacentral:rRNA from 1 species